rnacentral:rRNA from 1 species
AUUGAACGCUGGCGGCAGGCCUAACACAUGCAAGUCGAACGAGUGGCGGACGGGUGAGUAAUGUCUGGGAAACUGCCUGAUGGAGGGGGAUAACUACUGGAAACGGUAGCUAAUACCGCAUACCAUCAGAUGUGCCCAGAUGGGAUUAGCUAGUUGGUGGGGUAAAGGCCUACCAAGGCGACGAUCCCUAACUGGUCUGAGAGGAUGAUCAGUCACACUGGAACUGAGACACGGUCAAGACUCCUACGGGAGGCAGCAGUGGGGAAUAUUGGACAAUGGGCGAAAGCCUGAUGCAGCCAGGCCGCGUGUGUGAAGAAGGUCUUCGGAUUGUAAAGCACUUUAAGCUAGGAGGCGUUACUAACAGAAGAAGCACCGGCUAACUCCGUGCCAGCAGCCGCGGUAAUAC